rnacentral:rRNA from 1 species
AACGAACGCUGGCGGCAUGCCUAACACAUGCAAGUCGAACGAGACCUUCGGGUCUAGUGGCGCACGGGUGCGUAACGCGUGGGAAUCUGCCCUUGGGUUCGGAAUAACAGUUGGAAACGACUGCUAAUACCGGAUGAUGUCUUCGGACCAAAGAUUUAUCGCCCAGGGAUGAGCCCGCGUAAGAUUAGCUAGUUGGUGAGGUAAAGGCUCACCAAGGCUACGAUCUUUAGCUGGUCUGAGAGGAUGAUCAGCCACACUGGGACGGAGACACGGCGCAGACUCCUACGGGGGGCAGCAGUGGGGAAUAUUGGACAAUGGGCGAAAGCCUGAUCCAGCAAUGCCGCGUGAGUGAUGAAGGCCUUAGGGUUGUAAAGCUCUUUUACCCGGGAUGAUAAUGACAGUACCGGGAGAAUAAGCCCCGGCUAACUCCGUGCCAGCCGCCCGCCGUAACAC